AACACGCACCGCUCUGCCGCCUUUCGGGGAGGAAAGUCCGGACAACGCAGAGCGCCGCACCACCUAACGGGUGGGGCCUGUUUCGGGCAACCGGGGCGGGUACAGAAAGGGUCACAGAAAAUUACCGCCUUCGUUUUGGCGGAGGUAAGGGUGAAAAUGUGCGGUAAGAGCGCACAGCCUCCCGGCGCAAUCCGGGACGCGGACAAACCUUGCGGGUUGAAAUGCCAUGUACACCUCGUCUUGCCCGGUUCGCCGGGCGACGCCUGCUGCUCGCGGGCGACACGAGGGGGGUAGGCAGCGCAAACGCCGGUCGGCGACGAUCGGCGUCAGAUAAAUGGCAGAGCCUCCCGGGCAACCGGGAGCGACAGAAUCCGGCUUACAGGUGCGUGUUUUUU
rnacentral:RNase_P_RNA from 1 species